rnacentral:tRNA from 1 species
UGUCUUAUAGUUUAGCAGCAAUACUCCUUGCCAAGGAGAACACGCGGGUUCGAUUCCCGCUACCCGCC